rnacentral:lncRNA from 1 species
GCGGGACUUGGGGCUUUGUUGCUGCAUCUGGCUGUACCCGGGAGGCACUGACAUGUCUGUUCACCGCUUGAUCCGCAGGGGCUGUGUUUGUGCUUUCUGGCAUUGUAUUCGGCCCCGAGCGCUUACUGGACACUCAACAAAUGGCUGUCCCUUCUCUGGCUGCUGUCUGCUAGCCCUCUCACCAGCCUGGGCUCUGUCACUCGGCCUGUCUGCUUUAAGGAAUACUCAGUCUACCCCAGCACACUCCCUCUGCUUGAAGAGCGGGUGAGUUCUCUGAGUGUCUCUCCAAGCCCCGUCUCACAUCCUCUCCCCCUCUCCUGGCUUUCGGUUCACAAAGGGCUGCCCCAGGUCCUCCCAUGUACACAGAGGUGCUGCAAUUUCCAGAAGAAUCCUGGGGCCCGAAGAACCCACCCAGCAGGCAGUCGGCCCCAUCACCCCGCUGGCCAUUUCCUGGCCUCCCUAGGCCCUUCUCUCUACAAGCCCAGCUCUUGGGAACCCCGGCUCUUCCCUGCCAAAGGGGAAGGCCUCACCCCCACCUCUGUGACCCCAGGACAGUUUUGUUCCCCCUGCCUCAGCAGCUCUCCCACCUCUGGUAGGGUCAGCAGAUUCUCUCCUGCCUGUUGGGCACCCUGCUCCAGGCCACAUGAUCUGGGCCACGUCACAGCUACCCACAUAUCUGUUCCGUUGCAACCUGUGACCUUGUUCUCUAAGACAAGGCCGUAGGGUUUUCUCAUUUGCCCCAGAGUUACCUAAAGGGCUGUAGGGUGGUAGGCAGCCCCCAAACCCUGAGGGCCAGGGCAUGAUCUGAUGUGGUCACCCAAGGUUUCUCAAGGGAGCGUCAUGAAAAAUUUCUGAGUUCCACAUUGUCGCAGAACAAAAUAAAACCCUAAUUGCUUCACACCCUAUACCACCCUACCAGGGAUAAAAUCAGAGAUUGCACUGGGGGGGGCAGUGAUGGGUGCCUUUGUCACGGGGUGUGCAAAAUUGCGUGCCUGCCCUUUCCCCUGCCUAGCCCAGUUCCCUGAACCCUGGGACGUAUGGAAAGUCACAAGUGUUUUUUCUCAUGCUCGCUUCGACAGCACGUAGACUAAAAUGGAAGCAACACAGAGAAGAUUAGCGUGGCCCGGGCGCUGGGAUGACACCCAGAUUCACGAGGCGUUCCAUAUGAAAAAAAUAAAGUCACAACUGAUUUUUCUUUUCAAGUCUGUUGACAAGUUGCAGAGUUUGCCUUCCGAAAGUGGAUGCUCCGUUCAGUUUAACGCAUUCAUUAAAUAAGUAGAAUUACUUGAGUCCCUGCUAUGGGCCAGACAGCAUGCUGCAUGGACCGUGGGGACACAACAGGGAGCAGGGCAGAGGCAGACCGCCCUCCCCGUCUUUGAAUUCAGCUCACAUCCCACUUCUGCCAUUUACCGGGUCACCUUGUGCAAGUCAUCGGAUCUCUCUGCGCUUCAGUGCUUUUUCCUAUCAGAUGAAGAUGGGAGUUCCUGCCUCACUGUAUUUGCCUGGCAAGUAGUAGGUGUUCAAUAAACGGCCGCUAUUCUCAUUGCUCUUUUCCAGGCUGGAAGGAGAAAGGUGUCCUCUUUCUGCUCAUGUGGAAAUUGCCUGGGAAGCUAGUAAGCUGUUGGCUCUGAAGGCAGUUGGCUGUCCUGAGUUUUCGAGUCCCUUGGAAGGAUUCUGGGGAGUUGGCCGAUUGGCUGCAGGUACCUGCCAGGCUGCGGGCCGUGCCGAGUGACCCGGAGUUGGGGCUGUCGCUAUGUCCUGUUCUAAUUUCUGUUUCUCUGUGUGCUUUGUAAUUGGGCCACUCUUUCAGUCGGCUAGAGCAGUUAAUGACCUUGAGAAAUGAUCCCAGCCCUGAAUAUAGAAUCCUGCUCUUUUGAAGUCACCCACUUCCUUUGUGGGUCUAAACGUGUUUGUGUUUUCCCUCUCGGGCAUGCCUUCUCUUCCGCUUUGAUGCCCGCCUCUGUAACAACAGGGCUCGGAAUUAUUAAUUCCUACUGCGCAGUGAGGUGCAGUUUUAUUACACAGAAAGGGGGAAAAUAUAAUUGCUGUCUUGAGUAAUCAUUUUCUGAAGGCUGCAAGCAUAACCUUUCAUUAAUAUUUCAUUCGCGGCCAGGGUGGGUAACUUGAAUAGGCCUAAAAAUAUUGUCCCCUUUGCAUGGCGAGAUCAGGAGCUGGGAGCCAGUGGCUCUUCAGUUGUUUGCAAUUAUUUCUAAAAUUAAAAACGUUUAACCCAUUAACCCAUAAAAAAGCAGACGAGAGACUUACAGAGACACAGCUUUUUACUGAUUGGGGUAAAGGUGCAAAUCCCAGGCAUAACGCAUCUCAGCCCCUCCAUUUGGGAGUCAUCUCACUGCCCUCGCAGUGGAUUUGGGGCAGGGGGUGUGGGAGCCAGUGACUCACUGAUCGAAGCGAGGCCGCCAGGUCAUGUCCUAUAGGUGCCGUGAGGCCGGACAUUCGCAGGUCACUGGGUUUGAGGAUGCCGUGGGAAGUGCCAUGGUCUUUGAUGUUCCCUGGAGAGAGGCACUUGAAGCCUUCAAAGUGUCUCCCUGGAGAGAGCCAAAAGCUGAUUCUCAGGUUGGGAACUGGGGAGACUCUGCUCUUGGGGCAGAGAGGAGGCAGGCCAGUGGGGAGGGCAGGAGCUGAGCAGGUGGAGGGAGUGUUUCGGAGCCUCGGUGAUUGCUGGCCGUUUUGGGCAGCUUCCUUCAGCUUCCUUCCCAGUCCUGGGGAGUCCAGCUGGUUGGGGACCCAGUGGUGGCUCCUGGGUGACUGAAGUCCCCGCUUUUCAUGUCCUCACACUAUUUCACAGACCCGAGUUCAUCUGACGAUGUGAACAGCCCCCUGAGACCUGCAGGAAUGUGAUGACAUCAGUCCUUGUCCCCCUCGCUGGUCCACUUUAGCUCAUGGCAUCCUCUGACGACCUCCCUGGAAGGAGACGCUCCCUUACAGAUGGGGAAGCUGGGCCUUUUGGCUGAAGUCAUUGAUUCCCGAGGUCACAUGGCUGUAGGUGAGCUGGGAUUACUCAGUGGCCUGGCCGGGUGUGGACACCUGUGGAUCUUGGCGGGGGUGUGGGCUGCUCAGCGCUGGGUGACCACAGCGGGACCCAUGUGCAAGGCCAGGGCACUGUGGGUUCUUGCCCGUCAGGCCUCCCUCCACGUUUGGGUUUGCAGGGGUCCUGACUCCUAACUCCGGGCGUGUCCACGUGAGGGGGGAGGAUCACUAAACUCUGUAAACAUCAUGGGGAUUUUUAAGAACAUCCUUGCUCAGGCCUGGGGUUGCUAUGUUUCUGUGUUCUUGGCUCACUGUGUUUUCCUGGAAAAAUAAAUAAAUAAAAAACACUGGCCAAUAGGUUUAUUGCCAUAUAUCAUUCGUGACAAAGAUGGUUAUCUUUCUUAGUUACUAAUCACCUUGGGAUUUCUAAUGUUUAUUUAUUUUUGAGAGAGAGAUAGAGCAUGAGUGGGGGAGGGGCAGAGAGAGAGGGAGACACGGAAUCUGAAACAGGCUCCAGGCUCCGAGCUGUCAGCACAGAGCCUGACGCAGGGCUCGAACCCACAAACUGUGAGAUCGUGACCUGAGCCGAAGUCGGACGCUUAAGCGACGGAGCCCCCCAGGUGCCCCAGUCAUCUUGGGGUUUCUAGAUGUGCUCACGUUUGGGCCCCAAGACGUGGUGUUGUCAGGGCUCUCUCUUCAGGAGAAAGGCCACGGGGUCCAUAAACCCUGAGACCGGGUUGGGGGCCCUGGGGGAGGCUGGAGAGGAGUGAGGACUUGAGGAGCAGCCGUGAGAUUAGUUUUUCUUUUCCUCUGUACCCGGAACAGGGCAGAAGGUGUCAGGACAGACACGGGUGGCGGCCCCCCUGUUCCGGGUGCUCGCUGUUGAGCCCGU